UCAAUUCAACGUGCAUUCCACAUUAGUUAAACGUGAUAUAAUUGAAAUGAUGUGGAAACAACAUUGAUUCAACAAGUGUAUGCCCAGUGGGUAGAGACUUCAUGUAUUCACAAAUAGAACCUCCAGUUAACUGACUGCAGUACUGAGAAGAAAUGUGCAUACUUUAUCAAAACUGAAGAAAAACAAGUAUUGGGUAGUAUAUACCGGUAAACUAUGUUUUAUCUCGCUUUGCAGUGGAAUGAAGGACAUCAACGUCCUGUUUUUCCCAAGCUCAGACAUAUAAGGCCUAUUAAACUGCAGUUUGAGUACCGAUCAGAUGACUAGACUGUCAGUUGUUAGCGAGAAGUCCUGGCCUCACUCUCCUAGAUCUGUCAGAAGACGACAUCAAGGCUGGUACUCUCAAGGCCCUGACUGACUCUCUACAGAAGCUGAACGUCUCCAAACAGAUUGUUCUGAAUGACAGCCACAUAUCUGUUGAUGGGCUGAUGAUUCUGACCAGUUUCCUGUCUGUAUGUCCUGAUGUGGUUCAAGUGGACAUCAGUCUGACGGGCUGUGCUCUUCGUCCCCCUCACUUGGACCGUCUGUGUGAGAAUCUGAGGGACUGCUCUGCUCUGACUAUGCUGGAGUAAGUGUUCUCAGGGAGAGGCUUUGGAGUGUGAAAUAGCAAUAAGGAUAAUUGUUGGUAUGCACAUAUACAAGGACCUGUUUGUUUUUGUUCAUAACCCCCCACCAUUGUCAGUAUUUCCAACAAUGCCUUGGAAAACAAAGGUCUGAAGAAGUUGUUGGACCUCUUGCCACAGCUUAGCAACAUACAGGAAAUCAAUGUCAGUGAGAAUGCAGUCAGCAUGGAAGGAGUUGUGCAGCCUAGCUGGAACCCUGUGCUCACACAGGAACAUGAGUGAAGUGAAUAUCAGAAUACAAUCUACAGGAUUGGAACAGUGUAAGAAACUCAGGUAGGACACAGAACGAUAUGUAACGUUUUAGGCGACCCGACCAAAUUCACAUAGAAAUGUGAGUUAUAGAUCUGUCAUUCACAAUUAGAGCUUUCGGGGCGCGAAUGCAUAGUGCAAAAAGCCACAACGUUCACUACUGGAGUUCUGCGUGGUUAAGAUAAAAUCAUGCAUCAAAUUAUCUUGAGUACCUGUAGCGGUCCUGUGGUUGGGUGGAUGCAACUGUUCUGUGGGGGAGGGGUGGGUGUAGUUGUCCUGUGGGGGGGCUAUUCUACUUUACACUUUUUCUCUUGUAGUUGUUCUGCAUCUUAUUGAAUGUGUGAGUGGGCGGGGCUCGGGCUGAGGGAAAUUGGGAUGAGGGAGGGGAUGGGUGAGGGUAAAGGUCUAGCAUCCUGCUCUUUUCUUAUUUGUUUAAGUUCCUCUGUCAAUAUAAAUCAAAUAAAAUAUACAUGUUUUCACAAAAAUUGUACCUAGCAUUCUCAUUGAAAGAGCAAGUCUAAGAAGCGGUAGAUCUGUUCUAUGUUCUCUAUUUCUAUGUUUCCCGUGUUUAAGAUGAGUUUUUGUGCCUUUUACUUUUGGUUGUGUGCACCAACUUCAAACAGCUGAAAAUACAAUAUUUUGGGUU